UCAAAGAUUAAGCCAUGCAAGUGAAAGUAUAUAUAUAUUUAUUAUAUAGAAACUGCGAACGGCUCAUUAAAACAGUUAUAAUCUACUUGACAUUUUUUUUAUAAGGAUAACUACGGAAAAGCUGUAGCUAAUACUUGAACGAUUGUUCUUCAGUUCCCCAAAAAGGUUCUGUAGAACACGUAUUUGUUAAGCCUAAUAAGAAAAAAGUUAUUAACUUAAGGAAUUAUAACAAAGAAGGAACACAUAAUAAAACUUUGUUUUAUUUAGUGUGUAUCAAUCGAGUUUCUGACCUAUCAGCUUUUGAUGUUAGGGUAUUGGCCUAACAUGGCUAUGACGGGUAACGGGGAAUUAGAGUUCGAUUCCGGAGAGGGAGCCUGAGAAAUAGCUACCACAUCUAAGGAAGGCAGCAGGCGCGUAAAUUACCCAAUUCUAAAGAAGAGAGGUAGUGACAAGAAAUAACAAGGUAAGGUCAAAUUUUGGCUUUGCCAUUGGAAUGAUAGGAAUUUAAAAACUUCCUAAAGUAACAAUUGGAGGGCAAGUCUGGUGCCAGCAGCCGCGGUAAUUCCAGCUCCAAUAGCGUAUAUUAAAAUUGUUGCAGUUAAAACGCUCGUAGUUGAAUUUCAAAGAAUCAAUAAUAGCGAAUACAAUAUCAGAUAUGUGUUAAAUAUAGUGCUUCGGCUUAUAUUUUCCACAUUUCCGAUUAUAUGUAUUGUUAAAAAUAUAAUAGGUUUUUUUAUAAAAAUUCUUCGUUGCUUUAUGUGAUGAGAAUUUUUUGUUACUUUGAGUAAAUUAGAGUGUUCAAAGCAGACGGUUUAUAAAACAGGUAAAACUGGGUUUGAAUACUACAGCAUGGAAUAACAAAAUUGAACAAGCUAAAAUUUUUGUUCUUUUUUCUUAUUUUGGCUUAGUUACGAUUAAUAGGAGUAGUUUGGGGACAUUCGUAUUCAGAUGUCAGAGGUGAAAUUCUUAGAUUUUCUGGAGACGAACAACUGCGAAAGCAUUUGUCUAAAAUACUUCCAUUAAUCAAGAACGAAAGUUAAGGGAGUGAAGACGAUCAGAUACCGUCGUAAUCUUAACCAUAAACUAUGCCAACUAGGUGUUGGAUGAAAGUGUAAAAAAUAAAAGAUGAUCUAAUGUAACAGUUAGAUUGUCUUUUAGCUUGCUUCCUUCAGUACCUUAUGAGAAAUCAAAGUCUUUGGGUUCUGGGGCGAGUAUUCGCGCAAGCGAGAAAGUUAAAAGAAUUGACGGAAGGGCACCACCAGGCGUGGAGCUUGCGGCUUAAUUUGACUCAACACGGGAAAACUCACUAGUUUAAGACAAGAGUAGGAUUGACAGAUUAAUAGCUCUUUCUUGAUUUCUUGGAUGGUGAUGCAUGGCCGUUUUUAGUUCGUGAAUAUGAUUUGUCUGGUUAAUUCCGAUAACGAACGAGAUCUUAACCUGCUAAUUAGCGGUAAAUACAACAUAUUCUUAAGUAAAUAAGAAUAUAGAUAAAAAUAACAAAUAAGAGAAAAUAUUAGGAUGUUAUUAUAUAUAAUAUCUUUUUCCCUUUUCUUCUUAUUAUGUUUUUUUAUUCUAUUUCUUUUUUUACUUAAGAAUGUAUUUACUUGAUUGUAAAGCUUCUUAGAGGAACAUUGUGUGUCUAACACAAGGAAGUUUAAGGCAACAACAGG
rnacentral:rRNA from 1 species